rnacentral:lncRNA from 1 species
AGCGCGUCUGGGAGCACAGGGCUCUUGAACUAUUGAAACCUCAACCCUGGAUCUCUUGCAGUCGCCUCCCGACUUUCUCCACUCCAGGGUCACAGAGAUCGUGUGCCUUGAGGGGCUGCUGCUCACCUUCCUCGCUCCUGCUUUACUGAGUCUCCUUCGUCAGCAGCCCUCAGCCCUCUCUCCUUGUUUAAUUAAACGAAAGCAGGGAGUGGCAAGAUGGAAGAUAGUCACAUGAGAACAGUGAGUACCAGGGCAAGGUAGAGAGUGUGUCGGUUGGCUUUUAUCAACUUGACCCAAUCCUUGAGGGAAGAAAAACCUCAACUGAGAACAAGCCUCCAUCAGAUCGGCCUAUAGGCACACCUGUGAGACAUUUUCUAGACUGUGACUGAUGUGGGAGAGCGUCGUUCAUUGUGGGUGGUGCCACCCCUGCGCAAGUGCUCCUGUAGGUGUAUAAGAAAGCAGGCUGUGGCUGCCGCGGGAAGCAAGUCAGUAAACAUCACUUCUCCGUGACCUCUACUUUAGUUUCUUUGUAUUCCUGCCCUGACUUCUCUCCAAGGUGGACCAUUAGCUGUAAAAAUGGAAUAAACCCUUUUGUCCCUG